GACGAACGCUGGCGGCGUGGAUUAGGCAUGCAAGUCGAACGGUAUCAUCCUUUCGGGGGUGAGAGAGUGGCGAACUGGUGAGUAACACGUAGGUUAUCUACCCUCAAGACGGGGACAACCCAGGGAAACUUGGGCUAAUACCGGAUGUGAGCAACUUUUAGUUGUUUGAAAGGUGGCGUAAGCUGUCGCUUGGGGAUGAGCCUGCGUCCUAUUAGUUAGUUGGUGAGGUAACGGCUCACCUAGGCAAUGAUAGGUAGGCGGCCUUAACGGGUGGUCGCCCACACCGGGAUUGAGAUACGGCCCAGACUCCUACGGGAGGCAGCAGUCGAGAAUAGUCUACAAUGGUCGGAAGACUGAUAGUGCGACGCCGCGUGAACGAUGAAUCCCUUCGGGGUGUAAAGUUCUUUUAUAUGUGAGCAGUGCUUCUUAUAUUAACAGUAUGGGGAGAGAGAUAUUAGCAUAUGAAUAAGCAACGGCUAACUCCGUGCCAGCAGCCGCGGUAAUCUCG
rnacentral:rRNA from 1 species